UACGGGGGGGGUAAGCGUUGUUCGGAAUUACUGGGCGUAAAGGGUUCGUAGGUGGCUUACUAAGUCAAACGUGAAAUCCCUCAGCUUAACUGGGGAACUGCGUCUGAUACUGGAAAGCUUGAGUGCAGGAGAGGAACGCGGAAUUCCAGGUGUAGCGGUGAAAUGCGUAGAUAUCGGGAGGAACACCAGUGGCGAAGGCGGCUUUCUGGCCUGUUCUUGACGCUGAGGCGCGAAAGCUAGGGGAGCAAACGGG
rnacentral:rRNA from 1 species